CGAGUUGGCCAGACAGUCGCUGCGCUCGCAAGAGCGGGGAGGAAAGUCCGGGCUUCAAAGAGCGGGGUGCCAGGUAACGCCUGGGCGGUGCGAACCGACGACAAGUGCAACAGAGAGGAGACCGCCAUCAUAGCCUCGGCUAAGGUGGUAAGGGUGAAAGGGUGCGGUAAGAGCGCACCGUGCGGCUAGCAAUAGUCCGUAGCAAGGUAAACUCCACCCGAAGCAAGACCAAAUAGGGUUCCGUAUGGCGUGGCUCGCGUUGGAACCGGGUAGGUCGCUUGAGCCUGCGAGCGAUUGCAGGCCUAGAUGAAUGACUGUCCAAGACAGGACCCGGCUUAUCGGCCAACUCAUUAA
rfam:Shewanella sp. MR-7, complete genome.